AUACAUAGGGGGCAAGCGUUAUCCGGAAUUAUUGGGCGUAAAGGGUGCGUAGGCGGUCUAUUAAGUCUGAGGUGUAAGUGCAGGGCUCAACCCUGUGAUGCUUUAGAAACUGGUAGACUUGAGUGAGAUAGAGGCAAGUGGAAUUCCAUGUGUAGCGGUAAAAUGCGUAAAUAUAUGGAGGAACACCAGUGGCGAAGGCGGCUUGCUGGGUCUAUACUGACGCUGAGGCACGAAAGCGUGGGGAGCAAACAGGAUUAGAUACCCUGGUAGUCCACGCCGUAAACGAUGAGUACUAAGUGUUGCGAGAACGCAGUGCUGAAGUUAACACAUUAAGUACUCCGCCUGGGAAGUACGCUCGCAAG
rnacentral:rRNA from 1 species